UACGGAGGGGGCUAGCGUUGUUCGGAAUUACUGGGCGUAAAGCGCGCGUAGGCGGCUUUGUAAGUUAGAGGUGAAAUCCCUCGGCUCAACUGAGGAACUGCCUUUGAAACUGUACGGCUUGAGGCCGGGAGGGGGUAGCGGAAUUCCCAGUGUAGCGGUGAAAUGCGUAGAUACUGGGAGGAACACCAGUGGCGAAGGCGGCUACCUGGACCGGUUCUGACGCUGAGGCGCGAAAGCGUGGGUAGCAAACAGG
rnacentral:rRNA from 1 species